GACGAACGCUGGCGGCGUGCUUAACACAUGCAAGUCGAACGGAAAGGCCCUGCUUUUGUUGGGUGCUCGAGUGGCGAACGGGUGAGUAACACGUGAGUAACCUGCCCUUGACUUUGGGAUAACUUCAGGAAACUGGGGCUAAUACCGGAUAGGAGCUCCUGCUGCAUGGUGGGGGUUGGAAAGUUUCGGCGGUUGGGGAUGGACUCGCGGCUUAUCAGCCUGUUGGUGGGGUAGUGGCUUACCAAGGCUUUGACGGGUAGCCGGCCUGAGAGGGUGACCGGCCACAUUGGGACUGAGAUACGGCCCAGACUCCUACGGGAGGCAGCAGUGGGGAAUAUUGCACAAUGGGCGGAAGCCUGAUGCAGCAACGCCGCGUGCGGGAUGACGGCCUUCGGGUUGUAAACCGCUUUCGCCUGUGACGAAGCGUGAGUGACGGUAAUGGGUAAAGAAGCACCGGCUAACUACGUG
rnacentral:rRNA from 1 species